rnacentral:rRNA from 1 species
UACGUAGGAUCCAAGCGUUGUCCGGAUUUACUGGGUGUAAAGGGUGCGCAGGCGGACUUAUAAGUCAGGGGUGAAAUCUCGCUGCUCAACAGCGAAACUGCCUUUGAUACUGUAGGUCUUGAAUUAGGGAGAGAUUCGUGGAAUUCCGAGUGUAGCAGUGAAAUGUGUAGAUAUUCGGAGGAACACCGACGGCGUAGGCAGCGCCCUAGACGAGACCUGACGCUCAGGCACGAAAGCGCGGGGAGCGAACAGG